UACGUAGGGUGCAAGCGUUGUCCGGAAUUAUUGGGCGUAAAGAGCUCGUAGGCGGUCUGUCACGUCGGCUGUGAAAACCCGAGGCUCAACCUCGGGCCUGCAGUCGAUACGGGCAAACUAGAGUACUGCAGGGGAGACUGGAAUUCCUGGUGUAGCGGUGAAAUGCGCAGAUAUCAGGAGGAACACCGAUGGCGAAGGCAGGUCUCUGGGCAUUAACUGACGCUGAGGAGCGAAAGCAUGGGGAGCGAACAGG
rnacentral:rRNA from 1 species